GUAAGGGAUAUUGGUCAAUGGGGGAAACCCUGAACCAGCAACGCCGCGUGAGGGAAGACGGUUUUCGGAUUGUAAACCUCUGUCCUCUGUGAAGAUGAUGACGGUAGCAGAGGAGGAAGCUCCGGCUAACUACGUGCCAGCAGCCGCGGUAAUACGUAGGGAGCGAGCGUUGUCCGGAUUUACUGGGUGUAAAGGGUGCGUAGGCGGCUAUGCAAGUCAGUAGUGAAAUCCAUGGGCUUAACCCAUGAACUGCUAUUGAAACUGCACAGCUUGAGUGAAGUAGAGGUAGGCGGAAUUCCCGGUGUAGCGGUGAAAUGCGUAGAGAUCGGGAGGAACACCAGUGGCGAAGGCGGCCUACUGGGCUUUAACUGACGCUGAGGCACGAAAGCGUGGGUAGCAAACAGGAUUAGAAACCCCAGUAGUCC
rnacentral:rRNA from 1 species